UAAAAACUAAUAGAUUUAGGUACUAAAGUUUGAGAACUUUGGUUUAAAAGGGAAGCAGGUGUAAUUCCUGCAUGGUCCCGCCGCUGUGAUGGGGAAAUGGUUCAGUUAUGCCACUGGUUAAGACUGGGAAGGUGUGAAUCAUUGAUGACCUGAAGUCAGAAGACCUGCCUAAAGCUCUAUGCCACA
rnacentral:ncRNA from 2 species